GGGCCCUGCCCAUCCUCCUCCAGGAUCUAGAGGAAGGGGACUUGAAAUGAUGAACUCUCCAAGGCCUUCCCAACUGAGAAACCUAGGUCUGUGAGCUGCAACACAUAUCUGGGUAUAAAGGAGACUGAGACUCUGGAAGAUAGAAGUUGACAAAGUCCACAUUUGAGCCCCAUUCCACUCAUCUUUAAAGCCCAGGCCUCUCCAGCUCCAGUGAACUUCUAACCAGAAACAGGAGCUCAGGUCCAGGCCCCCACCCCAGAUGUGCAGCCGUCCCAGCAGCCAGAGGCCAGCUCACCCCAC